UACGUAGGGGGCAAGCGUUGUCCGGAUUUAUUGGGCGUAAAGAGCGUGUAGGCGGUCAGGUAGGUCGGUUGUGAAAACUGGAGGCUCAACCUUCAGAGGUCGACCGAAACCCCCUGGCUAGAGUCCGGGAGAGGAGAGUGGAAUUCCUGGUGUAGCGGUGAAAUGCGCAGAUAUCAGGAAGAACACCCGCGGCGAAAGCGGCUCUCUGGAACGGUACUGACGCUGAGACGCGAAAGCGUGGGGAGCGAACAGG
rnacentral:rRNA from 1 species